AGCGAACGCUGGCGGCAGGCCUAACACAUGCAAGUCGAACGAACUCUUCGGAAUUAGUGGCGGACGGGUGAGUAACACGUGGGGACGUGCCUUUUGGUUCGGAAUAACUCUGGGACACUUGUGCUAAUACCGAAUGUGCCCUUCGGGGGAAAGAUUUAUCGCCAUUAGAGCGGCACGCGUCUGAUUAGCUAGUUGGUGAGGUAACGGCUCACCAAGGCGUCGAUCAGUAGCUGGUCAGAGAGGAAGACAAGCCACACUGAGACGGGGACACGGCCCAGACUCCUACGGGAGGCAGGAGAGGGGAAUCUUGCGAAAUCGGCUAAAGCCUGACGCAGCCAGGCCGCGUGAACGAUGUAGUUCGUAGGGUUGUAAAAUUCUUUCACCGGGGACGAUAAUGACGGUACCCAGAGAAGAAGCCCCGGCUAACUUCGUG
rnacentral:rRNA from 1 species